UACGUAGGGCGCAAGCGUUGUCCGGAAUUAUUGGGCGUAAAGAGCUCGUAGGCGGUUUGUCGCGUCUGCUGUGAAAACCUAAGGCUCAACCUUGGGCUUGCAGUGGGUACGGGCAGACUAGAGUGCGGUAGGGGUGACUGGAAUUCCUGGUGUAGCGGUGGAAUGCGCAGAUAUCAGGAGGAACACCGAUGGCGAAGGCAGGUCUCUGGGCAUUAAACUGACGCUGGAGGAGCGGAAA
rnacentral:rRNA from 1 species